GAUGAACGCUGGCGGCGUGCCUAAUACAUGCAAGUCGAGCGAACAGACGAGGAGCUUGCUCCUCUGACGUUAGCGGCGGACGGGUGAGUAACACGUGGAUAACCUACCUAUAAGACUGGGAUAACUUCGGGAAACCGGAGCUAAUACCGGAUAAUAUAUUGAACCGCAUGGUUCAAUAGUGAAAUACGGUUUUGCUGUCACAUAUAGAUGGAUCCGCGCCGCAUUAGCUAGUUGGUAAGGUAACGGCUUACCAAGGCAACGAUGCGUAGCCGACCUGAGAGCGUGAUCCGCCACACUGGAACUGAGACACGGUCCAGACUCCUACGGGGGGCAGCAGUAGGGAAUCUUACGCAAUGGGCGAAAGCCUGACGGAGCAACGCCGCGUGAGUGAUGAAGGUCUUCGGAUCGUAAAACUCUGUUAUUAGGGAAGAACAAAUGUGUAAGUAACUAUGCACGUCUUGACGGUACCUAAUCAGAAAGCCACGGCUAACUACGUG
rnacentral:rRNA from 1 species